rnacentral:rRNA from 1 species
AAUUCCUACGGGAGGCAGCAGUAGGGAAUCUUCCGCAAUGGACGAAAGUCUGACGGAGCAACGCCGCGUGAGUGAUGAAGGUUUUCGGAUCGUAAAACUCUGUUGUUAGGGAAGAACAAGUACCGUUCGAAUAGGGCGGUACCUUGACGGUACCUAACCAGAAAGCCACGGCUAACUACGUGCCAGCAGCCGCGGUAAUACGUAGGUGGCAAGCGUUGUCCGGAAUUAUUGGGCGUAAAGCGCGCGCAGGCGGUUUCUUAAGUCUGAUGUGAAAGCCCCCGGCUCAACCGGGGAGGGUCAUUGGAAACUGGGGAACUUGAGUGCAGAAGAGGAGAGUGGAAUUCCACGUGUAGCGGUGAAAUGCGUAGAGAUGUGGAGGAACACCAGUGGCGAAGGCGACUCUCUGGUCUGUAACUGACGCUGAGGCGCGAAAGCGUGGGGAGCGAACAGGAUUAGAUACCCUGGUAGUCCACGCCGUAAACGAUGAGUGCUAAGUGUUAGAGGGUUUCCGCCCUUUAGUGCUGCAGCAAACGCAUUAAGCACUCCGCCUGGGGAGUACGGUCGCAAGACUGAAACUCAAAGGAAUUGACGGGGGCCCGCACAAGCGGUGGAGCAUGUGGUUUAAUUCGAAGCAACGCGAAGAACCUUACCAGGUCUUGACAUCCUCUGACAACCCUAGAGAUAGGGCUUCCCCUUCGGGGGCAGAGUGACAGGUGGUGCAUGGUUGUCGUCAGCUCGUGUCGUGAGAUGUUGGGUUAAGUCCCGCAACGAGCGCAACCCUUGAUCUUAGUUGCCAGCAUUCAGUUGGGCACUCUAAGGUGACUGCCGGUGACAAACCGGAGGAAGGUGGGGAUGACGUCAAAUCAUCAUGCCCCUUAUGACCUGGGCUACACACGUGCUACAAUGGGCAGAACAAAGGGCAGCGAAGCCGCGAGGCUAAGCCAAUCCCACAAAUCUGUUCUCAGUUCGGAUCGCAGUCUGCAACUCGACUGCGUGAAGCUGGAAUCG